rnacentral:rRNA from 1 species
CUGCCCUGUGCAACUAAAUUAACGUUUGUUGUAAACGGCGGCGUUAACGUGAGCGUCCUAGGUAGCGCGAUAAUUUGCUUUUUAAUUAAAGGAUGGUAUGAAAGGGUUAACGAAGAAGAUGCUGUGUCUAAGAAUUUAAUUUAAACUAACUUUAAGGUGAAGAGGCCUUUAUGAAAAAGAAGGACGACAAGACCCUAUGAAGCUUUACCUUAAUUGAAGCUUUCAAGCUUUUAUACGGUUUUGAUGGGAGAUCAGUAAAAAUAAAUCCUUUGCUAUAGAGUUUAUCCUACCAGAAUUUCCUAAUUUUAUAUGUGUGAUUAGCUACUCUAGGGAUAACAGCGCAAUUUCUCCCGAAAGAUGGUAUUGGAGGGGAAGAUUGUGACCUCGAUGUUGGCUUUAGGUGUCCUAGAGGCGUAAAAGCUUCUAAGGGUGGGUCUGUUCGCCCUUUAAAAUCUAACAUGAGCUGAGUUCAGAACGGCGUGAGCUAGUUCAGUUUCUAUCCUCUUUUAAAAAUGAGCUAAUUUUGUACGAAAGGACUUUUUUGCUAAAGCAACGCUUUGCCCUGGCUCUUUGAUUUCCUAAAUAAUGCUGCGUAGUAAACUGAUUAGUUUAUAAAAAGGGU